GAAUGCAUUCUGAAACAACUCACAAUUUCAUUCUGCUUUGGAAAACUUUUGAACUCCCUCCUACAUCUCACCAAAUAUCUCAUUUGUUCUCACAGAGAUUAAAAAAAAAAAAAAAAAAAAAAAAGACAUCCUGAUUUUACAUUCUCAGGAAGAAAAGGAAGAAAAGACUUGGCUGAUUUAUGUCUAGAAUGGAACUAAAGUCAUCGCAUCUGUGACCCAGAUUUCUUCUGGGAGUCUUUCCAGGACACCUGUUUUUUCCCCUUGUCUGCACAGAGAAUCCAGGAAUUAGUUUACCAGUACUGUAUUCCUUGGUACAUAAAAGAUUGGUUCCCAGCACGGAGUCAAAGAACUGAGAGGGACAGCGUUGUAUAUAGCUGCAUUUCUUCAAAGGAUAAGAUACAAGAUAAUCUGAAACAACAUAUUCUGGUAAUGUGUCUGGAAUAUAGUACAGCUCUAAGAAUAAAUAAAUAAAUAAAUAAAUAUAUAAAAGAGAAGUAAAUACA
rnacentral:lncRNA from 1 species